rnacentral:lncRNA from 1 species
AUGGAUGGUCAGACGAGAUAAAGCAUGCAGGGAUAUUGACAAAGACGCAUGCAAGAUUGGGCAUGAGCAGAUGCAUGUCCGACCUAAUAGACGUAGGCCACGGGCGUAAGGCUACGGGGUGCGUAGGUGCACAAGGCGCAUGGGGGUGCAUAGGCACUUGAUCGGACGCACAAGCGCCAACAGUGGGAUGCACAGCCAGGCACGUAGUGGAAAGCACAGGCACGCAUAGCCGGACACACG